rnacentral:rRNA from 1 species
CUCGUGAAUUCAUCUCCGGGGGUAGAGCACUGUUUCGGCUAGGGGGCCAUCCCGGCUUACCAACCCGAUGCAAACUGCGAAUACCGGAGAAUGUUAUCACGGGAGACACACGGCGGGUGCUAACGUCCGUCGUGAAGAGGGAAACAACCCAGACCGCCAGCUAAGGUCCCAAAGUCAUGGUUAAGUGGGAAACGAUGUGGGAAGGCCCAGACAGCCAGGAUGUUGGCUUAGAAGCAGCCAUCAUUUAAAGAAAGCGUAAUAGCUCACUGGUCGAGUCGGCCUGCGCGGAAGAUGUAACGGGGCUAAACCAUG